CCAAACCAGAGCUGGCCAUAAUUGCUAACUUAGUUGGGUGUCUCUUUCAAAAAGAUUCCUGUAUAAUUGGCUUUUGUACAGCUGCAUAAUCUAAACAUUGUGACCAACAUAUUUGCCACACCUUGUCUUCUCCUCGACCAUAUAAAGCAUCGCUGCAAGUCAUCUGUCAGUCACUUGACACAUCAGAGACAGUGUAUGCUUCUUUCUCCACUUUGCAUCUACACAGUCUCAAAAUGUGCAAGCUCACUCUAACUGCUGCUCUCUGUUUGAUCAUCGCCAGCUUGGGUUUACCCGGCAUUGAAGCGAUGAAAUCCUCUACUGACCCCUGUGAUGGAAGACCCAAUGGGCAAUACCCCAACCCUGACGACGAACAUUCUUUCCUCUACUGUAUAUCUGGAGAAAAACGCGUCCAACAAUGCCCAGCAAAUUUGGUGUAUAACCCAUCCAUUAAGGUCUGUGACUAUCCCAGUAGUCAAACUGGAAACCCCUGUCAUGGAAGACGAGAUGGGCAGUACCGCAACCGUGACGACCGAAAUUCUUUUCUCAGCUGUGUAGCUGGACUAACCUACGUCCUACAAUGCCCAGCCGAUUUGGUCUAUAGACGCCGCAUUAAUCAAUGCGUCUAUCCCAGGAGAGGUUAAACUACCAGUAGAGAUACUGGAGGCCAAUGUAGUGGGAGAAGAAAUGGGCAACAUCCCAACCCUAAUAAUCAAACUUCUUUUACUACUAUGUAGCUGGACAAACGGCUACAACUCCCAAACCCAGAGCAGAUUAUUGGGACAUAAUCAAAUUCUGUUAAAUGUGCAAUUUCCUGUGUUCUUCAAUGCUUUUGGAUGUGAGGAAUGUAAUAAUGGCUAAAUACCACAUUGUUUUCCUAACUUCACUGUUGUUGUAUAGGAUAUAGGUUUUCGCAACUGUCGUGUGUAUAAUCACACUGGGUGUUUUCUCUUUCGUUUAUGUUGAUUGGUGAAUGGAUUGUUCUUACAUUAUGACACAAAUGUGGCAUAUUGUAAUUAUAUACAAUGAAUCAAUAAAAUACCGCAAUUAUAUCAGACUUAUUGUUUUUCUUUGCACUAGCAUUUUAGAGAUGGAAAUAAUUUCUUCAUAAUAGUUUAGCCCUAUGCUAACCACCUCACACGUCAGGGUUGCUGCACCACUCACACAGAAGUCCUAACCAAUAGGAAGUUGAGA
ensembl:lncRNA